CUAUCGCAGGGCACACAUUCACUCAUCAUUCACGCACAGUAUAGACUCUCAAAUAAGCCUGCCUGCGAGUCUUUGGAAUGUGGGAGGAUCUAAGAUAGCUCUAUAGCCUUUACCUGUGUUUACGCGUAUCUAAAGGUGUUGGGUACAUUCGGACUCGCCAUUUCCCGUGUAGUCGUUGUGGUCUGGCAAGCGGCUCACGAGUCUGUAGUUCACAUAAUGCUUUUCAUACGGAUUUGUUUCAUGCGGUGGAUAUGAGGGAGGACAAAAUGCGCGCCUGGUUACUGAUACUGUAUUACAUUUAUGCUCUGAAAGCUCAGGAUCCAGUGGUGGUCCAGUCUCCAGAGCGGGUGCUGGUGGAGGAUGGCGGCAUCGUUAGUUUACAGUGCAGUUUGAAAGUAGUAGGUUCACGUUGCUAUACCGUUAUUUGGAUGAAAACAGACCCCAGAACCAAGAUGCUUAGCACCCUACCCUACCCUAACACCGAUAUGGGCGCAAAUGGCGGAAAUGGGCCUACAUGCUUUUUCACCAUUAAAAAUGCUACAGUUCAGGACUCCGGGAUUUACUACUGUUCUGUGGUGUUUGGCCAGAUGACUUACUUCGGCAGCGGGUCAACUGUAAUAGUGACACAAGCUACAGAAAAUAGAACCAAGCCUCCGCCGGUGGAGAUUCUCUGGCCUCGUACUGUCACACCCCGCAUCCCUCUCCUGUGUGUGAUUUCUGGAGUCGUCCCGUCUCAGGUCCGUGUGUUAUGGGUCAUAGACGGGGAAGAGGACAGCGGUUUGACCGAAUCCCUUUGGACCAAAGACAGCGAUGGUAUCGUAGAGUCCACCCUAAACCAGAUUCUGGUCUCCGCGGAGGAGUGGGAAAGAGGAGUAUUGUGCACGUGCGUGGUAGAGUUUGCCGGAAUGAACAUUUCUAAAAGCGUACAAAAUCAAGCCCAUGUUACAGGAAGCAGUGACGCGUGCACGCUGCUCCUCUACGGAAUCAUAGCUGGGACGGGCCUCACCAUCAUCGUGGCGAUCUCCAUUGCCGUCUUCUUGCAUGGCGGGUGUUCUGUGAAAAGUGACGGAAACGCACGGGAACAGAGAAGAGAGACAGGCUUGGACCACAGACAACACCGUUCUGAGAGGGAAGGAGGAAGAAGGUCGGGAAUUGAUCAGACUACUACGGGGGUGCUGUACGCCAGCUUGGAAGAAGCAAGUUUAGCAAGACGGACGUAGAGACCUGUUUUUCCCAGUUACAACUGAAUUCUGUGGCGAUUUCACAUCUUGUGAUUUUAAAACCCCCUCAUAAUGUUAUUGCGAAGGGCUUGCAAUGUUUCCUAUAUUAAACCAAGCUUAAAUGCAAAUAAUAAAAACUGUCCACACUACUUUGAAGCAAUACAUCAAUUAAUGCAAUAUGCGAAGAUUGUAAUAACCAGGCCAAAGAUGACCAUCUUUGUAGCUGAAAGCUUACGUAACUGCGUGUAUUAAUGUGGUUUCCACACUUUGUGCAUUGUUGUCAUCGUUUUCCGUGAUAUACUGGAAAUGGUUCUAAUUUUAACCAUUCGCUGUUCCUAGCUGAGAGUUGUUAUAGCAGCCAAGUAUGAACAUGGCAGUGAUGGGUCGGAUUACACGAGGCACGCCUGUGUCUUGAUAUUCAAAAAUCUGUCUCCUUUUCGUUGAUUGUUGAAACGUUCCAAUGUGAUGUCUUCAGAAAAAUGUAUCCUCUCCUGUACAUUAAUUUUCAGACUUUUUCGCUUCAUAAAAUUACAUAAGACAAAAUGAGUAAACUUUUAACAGCAAGGAAAGACGGGAGCCCGCACUGAAUGAGAUACACAUUAUGAAUGUCUACGCAACAAAAUCAUUUUCAGCGUAUUUUAUUCCUGUUUGCACAUUACAUUACAUUACAUUACAGGCAUUUAGCAGACGCUCUUAUCCAGAGCGACGCACAAAGAGACAGACAUGUUUCAGCCUAAACCGUCCUCGGUAUCUUGAAAAAAACUUUUUGUGAAAACUUCUUUGAGCUUCUAUGGGUUGUAAUUCUUUUUUAAACUUUUAACAGCAAAAUUAUUUUUAAAUUGUCUAUGGUUACGAUUUUCAAUUUUCAACCGAUCACCUAGUUUUUUCAUUUAUUUCACGCAGAGUGAAAAUGUGGACAAUUGCUCCUCCUAGUGGGCAUAGGUUAAAUGAUACCCACACACAACGUAAAAUGUGUAGACUAGCACUCAUUUUUCAAAAAACAAUACGCAUUGCAAAUUACUUUGCGUAAAUGCGGAAAUACAUUGCACGUGAACGCAUUUUUGUGACGCCGUGGCUCUAACAAAAGUAUAAUCCGAAUCAAAUGUUUUAAAAGAA